rnacentral:rRNA from 1 species
GAUGAACGCUGGCGGCGUGCCUAACACAUGCAAGUCGAGCGGCAGCGAGGGGUGCUUGCACCCUGUCGGCGAGCGGCGGACGGCUGAGUAGCGCGUGGGAACGUGCCCCAAAGUGAGGAAUAACUGCCCGAAAGGGUAGCUAAUACCGCAUAUUAUCUUCGGAUCAAAGGAUUUAUCCGCUUUGGGAGCGGCUCGCGUCGGAUUAGGUAGUUGGUGAGGUAAUGGCUCACCAAGCCGACGACCCGUAGCUGGUCUGAGAGGAUGACCAGCCAGACUGGAACUGAGACACGGUCCAGACUCCUACGGGAGGCAGCAGUGAGGAAUCUUCCACAAUGGGCGAAAGCCUGAUGGAGCAACGCCGCGUGCAGGACGAAGGCCUUCGGGUUGUAAACUGCUUUUAUAAGUGAGGAAUAUGACGGUAACUUAUGAAUAAGGAUCGGCUAACUACGUG